AUUGAACGCUGGCGGCAGGCCUAACACAUGCAAGUCGAGCGGAUGAAGGGAGCUUGCUCCUGGAUUCAGCGGCGGACGGGUGAGUAAUGCCUAGGAAUCUGCCUGGUAUUUGGGGAUAACGUCCGGACACGGGCGCUAAUACCGCAUACGUCCUGAGAGUGAAAGUGGGGGAUCUUCGGACCACACGCUAUUAGAUGAGCCUAGGUCGGAUUAGCUAGUUGGUGGGGUAAAGGCCUACCAAGGCGACGAUCCGUAACUGGUCUGAGAGGAUGAUCAGUCACACUGGAACUGAGACACGGUCCAGACUCCUACGGGAGGCAGCAGUGGGGAAUAUUCGACAAUGGGCGAAAGCCUGAUCCAGCCAUGCCGCGUGUGUGAAGAAGGUCUUCGGAUUGUAAAGCACUUUAAGUUGGGAGGAAGGGCAGUAAGUUAAUACCUUGCUGUUUUGACGGUACCAACAGAAUAAGCACCGGCUAACUUCGUG
rnacentral:rRNA from 1 species